AUUGAACGCUGGCGGCAGGCCUAACACAUGCAAGUCGAGCGGAUGAAGGGAGCUUGCUCCUGGAUUCAGCGGCGGACGGGUGAGUAAUGCCUAGGAAUCUGCCUGGUAGUGGGGGAUAACGUCCGGAAACGGGCGCUAAUACCGCAUACGUCCUGAGGGAGAAAGUGGGGGAUCUUCGGACCUCACGCUAUCAGAUGAGCCUAGGUCGGAUUAGCUAGUUGGUGGGGUAAAGGCCUACCAAGGCGACGAUCCGUAACUGGUCUGAGAGGAUGAUCAGUCACACUGGAACUGAGACACGGUCCAGACUCCUACGGGAGGCAGCAGUGGGGAAUACUGGACAAUGGGCGAAAGCCUGAUCCAGCCAUGCCGCGCGUGUGAAGAAGGUCUUCGGAUUGUAAAGCACUUUAAGUUGGGAGGAAGGGCAGUAAGUUAAUACCUUGCUGUUUUGACGUUACCAACAGAAUAAGCACCGGCUAACUUCGUG
rnacentral:rRNA from 1 species